ensembl:lncRNA
CCUCCCCUCAACUUUACAGGCACACCUGGCACAAUGAUGCUUGUAAAUGGGAGGGAGAGAGUUAAUGGUGGAAUUUGGGUUUUGUACAAAUCAGCACAUUCUACUUUUAUAAAUGCACGUAUCUAUAUAUAGAGAGAGGGGUGAACGUUCCAGCGCGACAUCGCAUUUUUAUCAAGAAGAACCCAAGUCUACAGGCUGGAUAUUAAGCCAAACAGCAUGUUUGCAGCACAUUUCAUCUCUUUCUUCGAGCCUCCGGUUUUCCGGGAGAGGUUUUGAAGUGGCCUCAUUUGUAAUCUGACCUCUCUUCAUGUCAUAUUUGCGUCAUCAGCUCUGGGGGCCAUGCUAGGAUGCUGACAAGUAUUUCUGGCUUUAAAAUAUGACUCUUUGGCAACCCAAAGAAGAAAAAAAAAAAAAGACAAAUACCCCACUGACUUUGGAGUGUUUCUGCAUAAAAUGGAGAGGGCUCAUGGCACAAUGCAACUGCAACCAAGAGUGUCCCAGGACACCGCUCUGCUUUAUUACCAGUGGUUAUUGCAAGACCAGUAGGGGGACUGGUUGGCUGGAGAUGCCUAUGGCAAAAGGAAUGUGGACACAGUGCUGGGGUAGAGCAGGGGCAAUCAAAGCUCUGAGAAAAUGCAUUUUUGCUGUUUUCCUAUCAGCUGGGGCUACGUCAGAAACCAUCAGCAGCACCUGGUGUUAGAUCCGGUGCUCGUGCAAAGAGAAAAGAGGUGCAUCUUCACGAACUCAGUGGAGCUACGUAGAUUUCUGCAAUCGUAACAUCUGAAAAAGAGAAAAAGAAAUGGGCUUAUGUAGACUUAGAAGUAAUCUCUAUUAAUCCCCCAAUUCUUCAAGACGGUCUUCAAGAGUUUUGGGUUUUACGUGCAUGUCAGCAUCUACAAGGUUGAAACCAAAGGAUGUUCCAGCCAGCCCCGAAAUGAAAAACCUAAAUAUGAAAUAUUAAAAACAGAUCGGCUCUAGAGAAGAACUUUGACAUCGCCACAAAUCUGAAGAAGAAAGGGAAAACUCUGGCACUGAAAUUCAGGAUGACAUCACUUUCUGAGAACCUGAUGCCAAAACAGUGCUAUCUCUGGGAGAGCUUCAGUGAAAGCUUUUGUCAUCUUUGCCAGGUUAGUAUAGCUUUGAGAUAAAAAGCACUUUCUUAUUUAUUCUGCAGGAUGGGGGGGCGAGGCAGGGGGUGCGUUUUCCCCUGGGAAAUAUUACAUUCAGAUAUGUAGUAUCCAUUCCAGCAGCAGAAGACUUGCCAUCUUUGAGCAAGUCAUUGAUCUUCCUUCCCUAACGUGUUCAAAAACCCAAUGACACACAAUGCUUCUGAAAGAAGCCUGGAAACCACAGUGCUCCUUGGUGGCUGCGUAAUGCUAUACUCGGGGCUCAGCAAUUUAUUUCUUAUUUUUAUUUUUUUAUUUUUUACUUCAAUUUAUCAUCACCAGCUUUCUGCAAAUUGUCAAGAGGAGCCCCUGUCAAAACCCUGACACCGCCACUCUCCUUUUGUUUUCCCCCUACGUCCAUCAGUUCAGUGGGGGGUUCCAAAAAGAUACAAUGAAAUGCAAAACCCGGGGAGGAAAUCAGCUUUGCUCUGCACUGCCUGCAGUGUGCAGAGCUCUCUCGCUUGCUUUUUUUUUUCCCCUUCCCGGCAGCAGGGACAGCAGGUAGCUCCUUCCCUCUAAAGCUCCAGGUCAUAAACGUCUCUCAGCACCUUCAGGAAAUAAAAGCCCUGCGCUGGUGGGGCGGAUGCCUUGGAUACCAAACAAGUGACAUAAAUAUUGCGGCGGUAUGAGGUGUCGAUGCUAGCAAGGGGCUGUAAGAACAGAACUACAGCUGCGUGGAUUAUCACAGGCUCCUCUGGGACUGCAUGGGUAGAACAUGUGGGGUUGCAUGGAUAACACCUCUGGGACUGCAUAGGUAGCACAUUGGGACCGCCCAGAGAGCACCUAUGGGACUCUCCAGGUAACACCUCUGGGAAUCCCUAGAUAACUCAUUUAACACUCCACAGAUGCUACCUUUGGGUGUUAUCCCCAGAUAACACCUCUGGGAUUCCCCAGAUAGCACUCCUCCACAUGGAGUGGUGGGUGCUGCUUCACACCCUCACAUCUGACUGCAGAGGAACACCAGGUUUGCCUGGGUAGGCAAUGCAGACAGCAGGGCUAGAGAUGCAGAUGUGUGGCAUUUAAGGAAAAGCUGAGGGGGCUGUAAAGCUUUGGAUGGAAAAGGCCAUCCAAGAUUUGUGUCCAACAGAAAUCCAUCGUCAAAAAUUGCCACUUUUGGAGCACCAUACUAGGGAUGCCAAAGGUGAAUUGUCCGAAGCAAGGCAGAAAUCCUGCUUGCUGUGGAAGGGAGCAGCAUGCACAGGCAGGGUUUGCAACCAGAGCUGGGAAGGAAAGGGACAGCGUGAGGAAGGGCUGAGCAGUGGGGCCAGGUCCCAGAGCCAGCAGGGAGGGAGCAGACCGCAGCCCAUCCUGGCUAUCAGCACCUUUAGCAACGCUCGUCUGAGGCACGUCCAGGUUUCAUCACCUUCCAUGGCCUCGUUCUCUCCGUGCCAGAUAUAUUUGUUGUUAAUUAAGACAAUUGGAAAGAGACCGGAUGACUGCCAGAGCAGAUGCACUGGGAUAGCUCCCAACAUGGAAAGCAUCUCCUGCAACAUGUCAUUCCCUUUGUUCAGGUCUCUCCUUGAGCACCCAUUUAGGUUUGGAUCACUACCGGGCAUCCCACUUUCCCAGGUCCCUCCGGCCCAUUGGGAUGGGUGCCCAAAGGGCUGUUUGGGAGGAAACCCUAUGAAGUGUCUGAGCAUUCUGGGAUUCAGUGUCCCAUUUGCAAAAGCAACUUAUGCAAUUGUGGGAAAGUUUAUAAAUAAUUUGCAGCUCAUGGCUUGGUUUGUAACUUCUACUGGGAGCCAGGCGGAGUGGGGGGCGUAUUCUGUGUAUCCUUCUGCAUACGCUCCUGUAGGAGGACGGGGAUCCGGUUACAAAGACCUCAAAACAUUUGAACCAGUUGGAGUUGGAUGAUUGUAUAUAGGCUGUUCUGAAAUAUAACCAACAUUUACUGAAAGCUGACCCUGCGUGAGAGCCGGCGCUUUGGCCAGCGUGGUCCCCAGUGGCGCUGCUCAAGCAGGUGUUGGUGACCCUGCAGAACGAGUUACGGAUGGGGACGUGCCUGCAGCGCCCUGCAGUCCAGGCUGCUGGGGGAAGGUGAGCAGCAAAGCCACAGUGAAGUCAGAACUGGAAAACACCCAUCCUGGAAAUUCGUAUCCUGAACGUGUGCCCCAUCCUUGUGAGCACUGCGGUGACAUGGUGCAUGGCACUGUGCAAGUGGGAGCAGCCACGAUCUGUGUUCGUGCCAAACACCUGCAACCCCUUUCCAACAGCACUACUCACUUCGGUUUCACAUCUUUAUGUUUCUUAGUGUGUCACAAAGAAAAUAAACACAUGCUCCACCAAUGAGUCUCCUCGAAUGAGAUCCAUAACGUUCCUCAUGGUGCUCCACGCUUCCCAAAGAAACGGAGCUAGAGAUAGAUGGCUCACGUAGAGCUGAUGGAAACAGUUUGGAGCUAACUUUUUCCAUCAGAAAAUGUCACCUCAUCAAAAUGGAUAUGUUCCGAGGGAUGGGAUCGAUUUUGACAAAAUCUUCAGUGGAAAAGUGUCAGAAUGAAUUGUUUCCACCCUCUUGCUUUGUUGCCAUAAACUCAGAAAGUUCCGCUCUGAUCAAGCUCAAUUUUCUCUGGGCUGUGUCAGCCUGCCUGAUGCAGAGAGCAAUUUGCUGUGAGCCUGGAUGGCAGCGAUCAGUGCAGCACUGCCCAUUCUUCUUUGGGAUGUGCCUGGGGCUUUUGCUCCCAGUGUUUCACUGCCAUGGGGGGAGGAACCAGCCAGGUGCAUGGGGCACACAGUGAUGCUGCUUGGGGGUCUCUGCUGGCCCCCAAAUGCAGAGCAGCACAUUCCUGCCAGCAGCCCUCCUCCCAGGAAUCCCAGCACCCUCUGAUCCCAUCGCCCCUGCAGUUCACCUCUCACCACCUGUGGCCACAUCAGCCCCAUUUCCCUCCAGAUGAAGCUGGGAGACGGGCAGCAGCAGCUUUCCCACCAUCCACUCAUGUGCUCAAAGCAGGGUUUGAGCCCCAAACCCCCUGGACAUGCCCAGCUCCAAUAAAUCUUCGGAGCGACCAUAAUUAUUAUCAGUGCCAUUUUCAACAUGAGCAAAACAAUCUAUUUAUCCUUAUUCUCUCAGAACAGAACGAUCCUCUCCAGCUGGAGCUGACUUUUCUCUCUCUUCACACUGCUUUUUUUCCCCUCCUGCUGCUGUCAGCCUUCGGAAAGCGCUUGUUGUGGCAAAUUUCACCCCCAGUAAUAUAUUGCCCCUUACGUUUCUAACUGAAUUUCCAAUGGGUGACGUCCACAGCACCUGCUGCUACCAGUGCCAUCGCAGUGGUGGCCACAGACAGUGCUGGGCAGAGGGUCAGAAUCCCUUCUCACACAGCAAAGCACAAGAAAACACAGGACAGCCACAGGUUUUUGCUCUAAAUCCAUGCCAAAAAGCAGACUGCAUGGCUUUGGUUGGAUGGGGGGCACCGCCUGCGCAUCCGUCUGUUCUCUGCCUGAAAAAGUGAAUGCUUCCUCGCAGCUCAAAAAUACUCCUUUUAUGUAUUUGUGGAACAAUAGGGUCUCCCUCUGGUGGCAAAUCCAGCCCGAGGUGUGCUGACAUGGCAGCGGGUGUAUGGGACAGCCAGCUGGCACCGGGCAGUGCCAAAGGGACUCACUGGAUUUUCGUCAGUGCUGGGUAGUGCUGGGCUGGGAUCCCCACACCCAUCCCAAAAG